GACGAACGCUGGCGGCGUGCCUAAUACAUGCAAGUCGAGCGAUUGGCGGACGGGUGAGUAAUGUCUGUGACACUGCCCGAUGGAGGGGGAUAACUACUGAAAACGGUAGCUAAUACCGCAUACCAUCGGAUGUGCCCAGAUGGGAUUAGCUAGUAGGUGGGGUAACGGCUCACCUAGGCGACGAUCCCUAGCUGGUCUGAGAGGAUGACCAGCCACACUGGAACUGAGACACGGUCCAGACUCCUACGGGAGGAAGCAGUGGGGAAUAUUGGACAAUGGGCGAAAGCCUGAUGCAGCCAGGCCGCGUGUAUGAAGAAGGCCUUCGGGUUGUAAAGUACUUUCAGCGAGGAGGCGUUACUCGAAGAAGAAGCACCGGCUAACUCCGUGCCAGCAGCCGCGGUAAUAC
rnacentral:rRNA from 1 species